rnacentral:rRNA from 1 species
UACGAAGGGGGCUAGCGUUGUUCGGAAUCACUGGGCGUAAAGCGCACGUAGGCGGAUCUUUAAGUCAGGGGUGAAAUCCCGAGGCUCAACCUCGGAACUGCCUUUGAUACUGGGGAUCUCGAGUCCGGAAGAGGUGAGUGGAACUCCGAGUGUAGAGGUGAAAUUCGUAGAUAUUCGGAAGAACACCAGUGGCGAAGGCGGCUCACUGGUCCGGUACUGACGCUGAGGUGCGAAAGCGUGGGGAGCAAACAGG